AACGAACCCUUCGGGGUUAGUGGCGCACGGGUGCGUAACGCGUGGGAACCUGCCUUUAGGUUCGGAAUAACAGUUAGAAAUGACUGCUAAUACCGGAUAAUGUCUUCGGACCAAAGAUUUAUCGCCUUUAGAUGGGCCCGCGUUAGAUUAGAUAGUUGGUGGGGUAAUGGCCUACCAAGUCGACGAUCUAUAGCUGGUCUGAGAGGAUGAUCAGCCACACUGGGACUGAGACACGGCCCAGACUCCUACGGGAGGCAGCAGUGGGGAAUAUUGGACAAUGGGCGAAAGCCUGAUCCAGCAAUGCCGCGUGAGUGAUGAAGGCCUUAGGGUUGUAAAGCUCUUUUACCAGGGAUGAUAAUGACAGUACCUGGAGAAUAAGCUCCGGCUAACUCCGUGCCAGCAGCCGCGGUAAUACGGAGGGAGCUAGCGUUGUUCGGAAUUACUGGGCGUAAAGCGCGCGUAGGCGGCUUUUUAAGUCAGAGGUGAAAUCCCAGGGCUCAACCCUGGAACUGCCUUUGAAACUGGAAAGCUAGAAUAUUGGAGAGGUAAGUGGAAUUCCGAGUGUAGAGGUGAAAUUCGUAGAUAUUCGGAAGAACACCAGUGGCGAAGGCGACUUA
rnacentral:rRNA from 1 species